rnacentral:rRNA from 1 species
CCUACGGGUGGCUGCAGUGGGGAAUAUUGGACAAUGGGCGAAAGCCUGAUCCAGCCAUGCCGCGUGUGUGAAGAAGGCCUUCGGGUUGUAAAGCACUUUCAGUGGGGAAGAAAGCCUUGGGGCUAAUACCCUCGAGGAAGGACAUCACCCACAGAAGAAGCACCGGCUAACUCCGUGCCAGCAGCCGCGGUAAUACGGAGGGUGCGAGCGUUAAUCGGAAUUACUGGGCGUAAAGCGCGCGUAGGCGGUCUGAUAAGCCGGGUGUGAAAGCCCCGGGCUCAACCUGGGAACGGCAUCCGGAACUGUCAGGCUAGAGUGCAGGAGAGGAAGGUAGAAUUCCCGGUGUAGCAGUGAAAUGCGUAGAGAUCGGGAGGAAUACCAGUGGCGAAGGCGGCCUUCUGGACUGACACUGACGCUGAGGUGCGAAAGCGUGGGUAGCAAACAGGAUUAGAUACCCCAGUAGUC